rnacentral:rRNA from 1 species
GAUGAACGCUGGCGGCGUGCCUAAUACAUGCAAGUCGAGCGAACAGGCGAGGAGCUUGCUCCUCUGACGUUAGCGGCGGACGGGUGAGUAACACGUGGAUAACCUACCUAUAAGACUGGGAUAACUUCGGGAAACCGGAGCUAAUACCGGAUAAUAUAUUGAACCGCAUGGUUCAAUAGUGAAAGACGGUUUUGCUGUCACUUAUAGAUGGAUCCGCGCCGCAUUAGCUAGUUGGUAAGGUAACGGCUUGCCAAGGCAACGAUGCGUAGCCGACCUGAGAGGGUGAUAGGCCACACUGGAACUGGGACGCGGUCCAGGCUCCUACGGGAGGCAGCAGUAGGGAAUCUUCCGCAAUGGGCGAAAGCCUGACGGAGCAACGCCGCGUGAGUGAUGAAGGUCUUCGGAUCGUAAAACUCUGUUAUUAGGGAAGAACAAAUGUGUAAGUAACUAUGCACGUCUUGACGGUACCUAAUCAGAAAGCAACGGCUAACUACGUG